CCCCUCCCCCCUCGCGCCUCGCUCUCGCUUUGUUCGUUGACCGAGAUGUAGCUGCCAUGGCCAUUGUCGUCGUCGCGGCCAUCGGCCUCCCGUCUCCUGAGAGCAUGCCCUGGAGCUUCAGCGCCUCCGACUCCACCGACUACGUGCAUCGGUUCGAGCUCGGACGCCCUGCUGCCUCGCCAUCGCGUCGUCUUCUCCGCCACCGCCGCCGCAUCUCGUCGUCGAGCUCGUCGCGUCCGGCCACCCCCGCGCUCCCCGACCUCGCCAUCGGACUUGCACACCGAGACCGACGCGACUGCUACCCAGUACGACUAUGGUGUUGACGACCCUUCUCUCUUGCCAGAGCAACCAGACGUUGGAGCCCAGGAGCCAGACGCCACCGUUGACGACGACUACUACUACUCGGGAGGUGCCUACUACUACGUGCAGCCCGUUGGCGACGACCAGGAGUAGUUUAGGAGGAUCCCAGGCAGGUGGUCUGCGCCUCUUUCGAUCUGUAUCCCAGUUUGUGCUAGCCUUCUUAAGGCAAACUUGUUUAACUUAUGUCUGUACUCAGAUAUUGUUGCUUCCGCUGACUCGUCUAUGAUCGAGCUCUUGUAUUCGAGCCCUCGAGGCCCCUUGGCUUGUAAAAUGAUGGUUGUAUGACUUAUUUUAUUUGUAGAGUUGUGUUGUGAUAUCUUCCCGUGAGUCCCUG
rnacentral:rRNA from 1 species